UUCAUUUGAAUGGUCUAGAAAUGUUUCCACCCUUGAAGCUGCUUCCCCAAAGUUUUCAAAGCAUAUAUUUGCCCCAGAUUCUUCUCCACAACUGCCAACCAGGGUGUGGAAAUACUUCCAAUUGACUAUUAAAGUUUGACAGUAUGAUUCACAUAUUUAUAAGGGAGUCACUUUAACUUGUUCAUAUGCUGACAAGUAGAUUAGGCCACACUUCCUACAUGAUGUUAACAUUUUAAUAUGAAAUACUUAUGCAUUGAUAGGUCCCUAUGGCGAGCUUGCUUUGUGCCAACAUAACCUAAAAUCUCAUCUGAAGAAGCGGUCUGAGUAUUUGUUUGAAGGAACCCAACAUUUCUCAAUAAGAUCUAUACCGAGCUCUACACAGAGACUGGAAGUGGCAAGGUCAACAAUGAACAUGAGGUGAGACAGAUUGAGAGAGCAUGCAAGAGACCAGACACACAAGAUGUCAUUCGAAUGUAAUGACAUCUUCAAACCCUUACCUGGACAAGACAAGGAUAUCUGAACUAUGCUAACAAAGGGAAUCACUGGCAUUGGAAAAACAGUGUCUGUGCAGAAGUUUAUUCUUGCCUGGGUGGAAGAAAAGGCAAACCAGGAUGUCCAGCUCGUCUUUUCACUCCCUUUUCAGGAGCUGAAUUUGAUGGAGGAAAAGAGUUAGAUGGAACUUCAUCACUUUUUUUUAUUGAGAUCAAAAAUCUGGAAUCCCAGACCUCAAGAAGUACAAUGUUGUGUUUGUCCUUGAUGGUUUGGAUGAAUGCCGUCUUCCUCUAGAUUUUGAGAGCAAGACCUGGUGUGAUGUCACAAAGCCAACCACAGUGGAUGUGCUGUCUUACAAACCUCAUCCAGGGAAAUCUGCUUCCCUAUGCUCGCAUCUGGUUUACCUCCCGACCUGCACCAGCCAAUCGCAUUCCUCUAGAGUGUGUUGACCAGGUGAAAGAGAUGCGAGGGUUCAGUGACUCACGGAAGGAUGAGUUUCAUCAAGAGAAUGACUGAUCCAAACCAGGCCAGAAGAAUCCUCACACACAUGAGGUCAUCAAGAAUAUUUGAAGAAUAUCAUCAAGAAUAUUAUGUGCCACAUUCCAGUAUGCUGUUGGAUUUCAUCCUCUGUUCUGAAGAAUCUGUUAGUUGAAGCAGAGAGUGGGAAGAUGCCCAAAACGCUGACUCAAAUGUGCACACACUUCCUGAUGUUUCAGACCACACAGAUGAAUCUGAAGUACGCUAUAGAACAAGAGAUCGAACCCCCAUUAAAUCUAAAGAUAAUUCUGGGAUUGGGGAAGCUAGCCUUUCAACAGCUGGAAAAGGGCAACCUGAUCUUCUAAGAGGAAGACCUGAAAGAGUAGGGCAUCGAUGUUGAAGUGUCAGUGUACUUCAGAAUGUGUGCACAGGUCUUCAGAGAGGAGUGUGGGCUGUACCAGAGAAAGGUGUACUGCUUUGUGCCUCUGAGCAUCCAGGAGUGUCUGACUGCUCUGUAUGUCUUUCUCAUGUUCAACAACAAUGUAAAUCUGAUGGCAGAACUGACGUCUAAUGAAUUCUCUACAACCAUCCUCCAUAAGAGUGCAGUAGAUAAGGCUCCGAAGAGUGAGAAUUGACACCUGGACCUCUUCCUCAGCUUCCUUCUCAGCCUCUCUCUGGAGUCCAAUCAGACUCUGUUAAAGAGGUCUACCAACAGACAAGAAGCAGCUCACAGAGCCAUAAGGAAACGGUAGAAUACAUCAAGGAGAACCCCUCUCCAGAGAAGUGCAUCAGCCUGUUCCACUGUCUGAAUGAGCUGAAUGACCAUUUAGUGGAGGAGAUCCAAAGGCACCUGGGAUCUGGAAUUCUCUCUAAGGCCAAACAUUCACCUGCAGAGUGGUCAGCUCUGGUCUUUGUGUUGCUGACCUCAGAAGAGAUGCUGGAUAUUUUCGACCUGAGAAAAUACUCUGGUUCAGAGGAGGGUCUGCUGAGGCUGCUGCCAGUGGUCAAAGCCUCCAGAGUAGUGCUACUGAUGGGUUACAACCUGACAGAAAAAUGCUGUGAAGCCUCUUCUCUCAGCUCCUCUCAACUGAGAACGCUGAACCUGAAUGAUCAUGAUCUGCACGAUUCAGGAGUGAAGCUGCUCUCUACUGGACUGAGGAGUCCACGCUGUAAACUGGAGGUUCUUACCCUCUAUUUUAGUUAAAUAAGAUGCCUAUGAGCUGACACUGGACCCAAACACAGCUCACAGACGCCUCUCCGUCUGAGGGGAACAUAACGGAGACGGGAGACAGAGGAGAAACCGUAUCCUGAUCAACCAAACAGAUUUCAAUGCUGGUCACAGGUUUUGUCUAGACAGAGGAGCAACCAUAUCCAGAUUAGAGUUGCUGUUAUCCAACACAUGUAUGAUAUAGGCUACUGCACAGUACGCACGACAGACAAACAUAAAAGCCCAUAGAUGUAGCUAGCUAUAUGCUCUCUUAGGUAAAUAAAUGAAACUAGUGUGAACUGUAUUACUGUACUGUAUUAUAUGGGCUGGAAUUACGCACAUUGUUCAAACCACGAUAAAGCAGGAGAGAACAUGCGAUUCGUGUGCAGCACAUGCAGCCUACAAAGUUACAAGUAUAGGCUAAAGAAUUUGAUUUAAAUUUUGAAAUAUAAUAGGGCCUAUUUGUAUACUUAGUAGGCUGACGCAUAUAUACCUUUCAUAAUAUUCCCCUAAUGUUAUUAGCCUACUUCCUCUUUCUCUAUUGUUGCUUAAUUCCUUCCUCGCUUUCAACAGUUCAAUUAAAUACUUUAUCUUCAUCAUUCUAAUGACAUUAAUAAUAUUGGACUAGAAUUAGAAACAGAAUGCUUUCACUUCUCUUCACGAAGAUUGAAUGGUAAUGAGUCCGAAUAAAUAACUGAUAUAGCCUACCGCUAUCGCGCCCAUUUGCUCUUCUUUCAAACUACCCGUGAGUUCUAUUGGCUGCUGUAUUUAGCAAUCAUAAACAUAUAAUGCCCAGCAAUGCAUUUUAGUCUAGUUUUUCCUGCAUGAGAUUGGAAGAGCUAAGGAAAGUUUUUUAAGGAGAGGUCAGCGGAGCACAGGUUGGUGUGUAACGGAUGUGAAACGGCUAGCUUAGUUAGCGGUGCGCACUAAAUAGUUUCAAUCGGUGACGUCACUUGCUCCGAGACCUUGAAGUAGUAGUUCCCCUUGCUCUGCAAGGGCCGUGGCUUUUGUGGAGCGAUGGCUAACGAUGCUUCGAGAGGUGACUGUUGUUGAUGUGUGCAGAGGGUCCCUGGUUCGCGCCCGGGUAUGGGCGAGGGUACGGUCUACAGUUAUACUGUUACAUUGAUGCUGUUGACCCGGCGGAUCACUGGUUGCUGCGGAAAGGGGGAGAAGAGCUCACACUGUCCUCAAUAUGCUGAUGCCCCCUCCAGUUUGUCAGAGAUCCCCUGCUACAUCACAGGAGAGCAUCCUCAGGCUGGGAAACAUACCAGUCCCACAGUCCUGUCAGAGCCUGAACAGAAUGCUAUAGAACAGUUUUACAUUCUUCAUUAUUGUAUUCAUUACGUUACUCUGAGGACUGUGUCCCCUGAAUCUGUGGGGAAGUGUUGUAAUCCAUACAUUUGUAACAGUGUAAAUAAUCUAUAAAAGUAUUAUAUUUGAUUGUAGCACGCCUUGAUUUUCUAGCCAUUAAUUCUGAGUGAUUUACACAGGUUUUAUGGUGUUGGUAGCAUGCUGUACUACAGUACUUAUCUUACUAAAGACAUUCAUAAAGCUAACACUAAAUAUAUUUAUUAAGAUUUGUACCAUAAAGUGUGUUGUCUCUUCCUCUCAAUCCCUAAAAGGAGGUGUAGCGUGGCGUAAUGCAGUACCAGUGAUGUUCUGUACACUUACUAAAUAGCUUCCUGAAGCUAA